rnacentral:rRNA from 1 species
CCUACGGGUGGCAGCAGUGAGGAAUAUUGGGCAAUGGGGGCAACCCUGACCCAGCCAUGCCGCGUGAGUGAAGAAGGUCUGCGGAUGGUAAAGCUCUUUCGGACGGGACGAGGAGGACGGUAGCGGCGAAAGAAGCACCGGCAAACGUCGUGCCAGCAGCCGCGGUAAUACGAAGGGGGCGAGCUUUGUUCGGAAUUACUGGGCGUAAAGGGAGUGUAGGCGGCUCUGUAAGAGAGCGGUGAAAUGCCGGGGCUCCACCCCGGAACUGCCAUUAUGACUAUGUAUCUAGAGUAAUGGAGAGGAUAGCGGAAUCCCCAGUGUAGCGUUGAAAUUCGUAGAUAUUGGGUAGCACCCCGGUGGCGACGGCGGCUCUCUGGCCAUUUAUUGACGCUGCGGCUCG